AUGCCCGUCUCCGCCUUCCUGUCCCUGGACCCCGCGGCGUACCUCCUCCCCGCCGCGCGGCCGCGGCCGCGCCCGCCGGCGCCGCGCUUACGGUUACGUCGGGUGGUGGUGCUCAGGGCCGCCUCCGUCUCCGCCGUCGCGGAGGAGUCCUCUGCCGCCGCGGCCGCGCGGGGCCGGCUCGAGUCGCUCAGCCAGGUGGCCGGCGUGCUCGGCACCCAGUGGGGGGACGAGGGCAAGGGCAAGCUCGUCGACAUCCUCGCCCAGCGCUUCGACGUCGUCGCCCGCUGCCAGGGUGGAGCCAAUGCUGGGCAUACCAUAUACAAUUCCGAGGGGAAGAAGUUCUCACUGCACCUCGUUCCAUCGGGGAUCCUCAACGAGAACACGCAGUGUGUGAUUGGUAACGGGGCAGUGGUUCACCUCCCCGGGUUCUUCAAAGAAAUCGAUGGGCUGGAGUCCAACGGAGUUUCAUGCAAAGGGAGAAUUCUGGUGUCAGAUCGCGCCCAUCUUCUGUUUGAUUUUCAUCAAGUUGUUGAUGGACUCCGAGAGGUAGAGCUCGGGAAUUCCUUCAUAGGAACGACAAAGAGGGGGAUCGGGCCAUGCUAUUCGAACAAAGUCAUCAGGAACGGGCUCAGGGUCAGUGAUCUGCGGCAUAUGGACACCUUCGGUGCCAAGCUUAACACCCUGCUGAAAGAUGCAGCUACGCGGUUCAAAGGAUUUGAAUAUAGCAGCAAGACCCUCAAAGAGGAGGUCGAGAAGUACGAACGGUUUGCCGAACGUCUGGGACCUUACAUAACUGAUACUGUGCAUUUCAUGAAUGAGUCGAUCUUGCAGAAGAAGAAAAUAUUGGUUGAAGGUGGUCAGGCUACCAUGUUAGACAUUGACUUUGGUACAUAUCCAUUUGUUACCUCCUCAAGUCCUUCAGCUGGGGGGAUCUGUACUGGCCUCGGCAUUGCUCCAAGAACCCUCGGCGAUAUCAUCGGAGUGGUAAAAGCUUAUACAACCAGGGUUGGAUCUGGCCCAUUCCCAACGGAGCUGUUGGGCAAGACCGGUGAUUUGCUCCGUGCAUCGGGAAUGGAGUUCGGGACCACAACAGGUCGGCCCAGGCGUUGUGGCUGGCUCGAUAUAGUCGCGCUCAGAUACUGCUGCCAGAUCAACGGCUUCUCAUCCCUGAACCUGACGAAACUCGACGUGCUGACCGGGCUGAAGGAGAUCAAGCUGGGCACUUCCUACUGCACCGAAGAUGGCAAAGCGAUCGACUCGUUCCCGGCAGACCUCGAUCUUCUGGAGCAAACGAAGGUCAAGUACGAGGCCCUGCCUGGGUGGGAGGAGGACAUUUCCUCGGUGCGGGACUACGAUGAUCUCCCGGAGACCGCUCGUCUGUACGUGGAGAGGAUAGAGGAGCUGGUUGGUAUCCCUGUCCAUUACAUCGGUGUCGGACCCGGGCGGGACGCCCUUAUAUACAAAUAG
rnacentral:rRNA from 1 species